UUAGCAUACCCAAUAGAAGAAUCUAUCAGAGAGUAACGAAGUCAUAUCAUGAUUAUCCUAAGAAUCAACAACAUUCUUCCCCACUAGAAAAUUAACUCAAGUCUUCCAAUAAUUCUACUUAUCAAUACAACUUUAUCAUUAGAUCUUAUCAAAGGAAUAAGGUCCGAUACUUUCAGAUUUGAUUCUUUUGAUAGGUGAUUUAAAUCAAACUUUUCUUUUAUAAUCAAAAAUCAACGUCUUAAUUCUGAAUAAGAACAUCAAGUUUCUUUGUCAAAAUAUCAAUUUCUCUCAAUUAACCGAUCUAUCACAAGAUUAGAUCAUAAACGACUCUAAUCCACCCUUGAUAGAUAUUCAUUAAAGCCAAUUGACAACCUCAAUUUCUUUUAAUCAGAUAGAGGGUUGAUAUUAUUGAAAAAAAAAAAAUCAAGCUUCAGAUUUAGAAGAAAGGAGGUCUAUACCAACAUAUUCCAGAUCUAAGAUCAAAAUAAGUGAUCCAUUAAUUCUAGCCAAAAGAUGCUAAGAAUUUCUUAGCACGACAUAAAAUUGGAGAACCUAAGAUAGCAUAGCGACAUCCAAAAAAAAUCAAAACAUUUUCCUUUCAUUUAUCUAGAAAGUCCUACUACAUAAGAAAAUGGAUCAAAUCUUUAUUAUUAAAACUUUUCGAAUCAAAGGGAUAAUACUUCUAACCAACUUAGAUAAAUAUUUCAAACCACUAUGUUUUCGCUGUGCACUCUGAUUUAAAACAUCAAAAUUCUUUGGAUUCACUAAUAACUUUUACUACUUGUCUAUAAAUAGAACUAUUUAAUACCUCAUUUCUCUGCCUUUUGCAUAUCAUUUUGAUGAACUUGUUUCUCUUGUUUGAUUUCUUCCUUGUUAAUAGCAGAAACCCCCUUUUUUUUUUGUCAAAACAUCAACUAAUAUUCAUUUAAUGGAUUUAUUGCAGGAUCAUAAACCACUGCACUUUAUCCAUAGUAGAACAUUUGAGCCUCAAAUAUUUUUCAAGAUUGAUAAUUAUUAUCAAAAUUUACUAAAUGACUGUCAAUCAAAAUACCAAUUCACAUUGUAAUUGGAAAACAUCUAAUAUUUCAUAUUCCAAGUAAACAAAGGAAAAACUCUUAAGUCUCAUCCUCAAAUAUAUUUUCUUUCUAUAUAACAAUUUCAUGCAUAAUUGUCAUACAUAUUUCAUCCUCGAAGAAUAUAAAAUCUUUUCUUGUCCAAGCCUUAAACAACUUAUGAAUGAACCCUAUCUUGCCAUCAAAAUAAUUAACUUCAAACUAGAAGUAUUAUUUACAGUACCCGAUAUCAAGUUGAUCUUUCAAAAUCACUUAUAUACUAAUACACAAACAAUCACAAUGUAUUUUAAUAUUCCAUGGCUAGUACUCCACUUAAUAUUAGUCAAAAUCUAAUUUAAUCAUUACUUAAAAAUUUGCUACUUUCUAUCACAAUCACUAGUGAUCUUAAACUUUUAGCUUUCAUACAAUCCUGUCACAUUCCCUAUUGCUCUUAAACCUUUAUUCUAAUUCAAAUUUUAUUACAAUCCUCAAUGAUCUUAAACCUCCAACUUUGAAGCCACUUGUGCCACAGUCCUUAGUAGUCUUAAACCUUAAGCUCUUGUAUCAUUCAUAUCGCAAUCCUAAGUGAUCUUAA
rnacentral:lncRNA from 1 species